rnacentral:rRNA from 1 species
UACGUAGGGUCCGAGCGUUGUCCGGAAUUACUGGGCGUAAAGAGCUCGUAGGUGGUUUGUCGCGUUGUUCGUGAAAACUCACAGCUCAACUGUGGGCGUGCGGGCGAUACGGGCAGACUUGAGUACUGCAGGGGAGACUGGAAUUCCUGGUGUAGCGGUGGAAUGCGCAGAUAUCAGGAGGAACACCGGUGGCGAAGGCGGCUCUCUGGGCCAAUACUGACGCUGAGGAGCGAAAGCGUGGGGAGCGAACAGG